rnacentral:rRNA from 1 species
AACGGCCGCGGUAUUUUGACCGUGCAAAGGUAGCAUAAUCAUUAGUCUUUUAAUAGAGGGCUGGAAUGAAAGGUUUAACGAAACAUUAGCUGUCUCAUACUUAUAAUUUAAAAUUUAAUUUUUAAGUUAAAAAGCUUAAAUUUUGUUGGAGGACGAGAAGACCCUAUAGAGUUUUAUAUUAGAAAUUUUAAUGAAGGGCUUGUUAAAUAUUUUAAAUUAAUUUUUUUAAUAUUUUGUUGGGGUGACAAAUAAAUAUGAAUAACUUUUUUAUUUUAUACACAUAAAUUUAUGAAUAUUUGAUCCAUUAUUAUUGAUUAUUAGAUUAAAUUACCUUAGGGAUAACAGCGUAAUCUUUUUUUGGAGUUCAAAUUUACAAAAAGGCUUGCGACCUCGAUGUUGGAUUAAGAUAAUAAUUUGGUGCAGUAGCUAAAUUAAUAGGUCUGUUCGAC